CCAUGAGCUGGCACCCUAUUGAUCCCUAGGAUUGAUUUGGCUGGUUAGGAAGGUAUUCUUCCUCCUUUGGUGCUCCAUGGGCAUCCCCUCAGUCCCAAAGCUGCAUGCUUCGUUGAAGAGGGCUACCUUCCUAGAAUAGAGGCAGAUCAGUCUUCUGUCCAGAGUAUAUGAGUAGCUUUGCUCUCUUCCUAGAAACUCCAAGUUAUUUAGUGUUUGGUUCUUCAUGCUUAAUCAUGAUUCUUCAGCUUGUCAAGCUUCAUUUCUGU
rnacentral:snRNA from 1 species